rnacentral:rRNA from 1 species
AUUGAACGCUGGCGGCAGGCCUAACACAUGCAAGUCGAGCGGAUGAAGGGAGCUUGCUCCUGGAUUCAGCGGCGGACGGGUGAGUAAUGCCUAGGAAUCUGCCUGGCAGUGGGGGAUAACGUCCGGAAACGGGCGCUAAUACCGCAUACGUCCUGAGGGAGAAAGUGGGGGAUCUUCGGACCUCACGCUAUCAGAUGAGCCUAGGUCGGAUUAGCUAGUUGGUGGGGUAAAGGCCUACCAAGGCGACGAUCCGUAACUGGUCUGAGAGGAUGAUCAGUCACACUGGACCUGAGCCACGGUCCAGCCUCCUACGGGAGGCAGCAGUGGGGAAUAUUGGACAAUGGGCGACAGCCUGAUCCAGCCAUGCCGCGUGUGUGAAGAAGGUCUUCGGAUUGUAAAGCACUUUAAGUUGGGAGGAAGGGCAGUAAGUUAAUACCUUGCUGUUUUGACGUUACCAACAGAAUAAGCACCGGCUAACUUCGUG